CCAAAACAGGUAGUUCUUGGGAAGAACAUUAAUAACUUGGGAUUUUUAGGAAAAAUGCCAGUGCUAAAUCAAUUGCUAAAGCUGAGAGUUAAUGUCAAAGAGAGCUCCACAACAAAAAGGGCCAAUAACUUACUAUUAGUGGCAGAGUGCCUGUGCUUUGUAAGUGUUUCCACAUGGGAUGGAUUGAUGAGAUAAUUGAUUAAUUACCAAUUAAGGUGAUUCAGCUCCUCAGUUGAGGAUAAUUAAAAGAGAGAGAGGAAGGCAGGAAAAGCCUAAAGAAAGGGCUAGAGAAACCUAGGUUUGCAGGGAGAUUUUACCCUGUGUCUAGACUCUAGGGAGAAGGACUCAUUCAGCACAUUAUUUUUAAAAAAAAAGUAAGCCCCACAGUGGUGGGGAACCUGUGCAGGACUGUGUGCAGAGAGAGGCCUACUUUGUGACUCUCCUUUUAAAAUGAAAGCAACAAGGACUGAGGAGGAAGGCCAUUUCCUGGUAUAUAAUGACCAGCUGGAAAAGAUCAAAACCCAAGGUAGGGGACCAGACCUUUAAGCAAGCCAGGAAAUAAUGCUGGACCUGGAGUUUCCCAGCUGGCGCGCCUGGCAUUGUGACAUGAUGUGUUAGGUUGCAUCAGUCACAUUGUUCUACAUGACAUCGCAGAUCAGAAGGGGACAUGACUGAUGAAAGGUGAUGGUGUCACAUCACAAUACGAGGCCUCAGCUGGGGAAGUCUGAACAAUUCUCCAAACCAUUGUUUAAAGAAAAAAAAAAGAUUUGGGUUGAAGAGAAUGUUCCCUUCAUAUCCCUCCUCCACUCUGCAAUCCCUUUCAAAUUAAAAGUUUUGCUAGCUGUGCUGCCCAAAUUA